rnacentral:rRNA from 1 species
GAUGAACGCUGGCGCCAUGCCUAAUACAUGCAAGUCGAACGAAUUUAAAGUAGCUUGCUACAAUAAAUUAGUGGCGAACGGGUGAGUAACACGUGGGUAACCUGCCUAUAGGACUGGGAUAACUAUUGGAAACGAUAGCUAAAACUGGAUAGGUAAUAUUAAGGCAUCUUGAUAUUAUGAAAAGUUGGGAAACAACGCCGAUAGAUGGACCCGCGGUGCAUUAGUUAGUUGGUGAGGUAACGGCUCACCAAGACGAUGAUGCAUAGCCGACCUGAGAGGGUGAACGGCCACAUUGGGACUGAGACACGGUCCAGACUCCUACGGGAGGCAGCAGUGGGGAAUAUUGGACAAUGGGCGAAAGCCUGAUCCAGCCAUGCCGCGUGUGUGAAGAAGGUCUUCGGAUUGUAAAGCACUUUAAGUUGGGAGGAAGGGCAGUAAGUUAAUACCUUGCUGUUUUGACGUUACCAACAGAAUAAGCACCGGCUAACUUCGUGCCAGCCGCCGCGGUAAUAC